rnacentral:lncRNA from 1 species
CCUCCAUAUGCUGUGAGAGCGGCCCUAGAAAAGGCAAAAAGACAAAAACAAACAAACAAACAAAAGAAUGAAGUAAUGUCAUUUGUAGCAACAUGGAUGGACUUAAAAAUGAUCAUAUUAAGUGAAGUAAGUCAGAAAGAGAACGACAAAUACUGUAUGAUGUCACUUAUAUAUGGAAUCUAAAAUACAACACAGAUGACUCACAGACAUAAAGAACAGACUUGCGGUUGCCAAAGGGGAGGGGAGAGGGGAGGAAAUGAUGGAGAGUUUGCCAUUAGCAGAUGCCAACUAUUGUAGAGAAUGGAUAAACAACAAGGUCCUGUGGUAGCACCGGGAACCAUAUUCAAUAUCCUAUGAUAAACCUAGUGGAAAAGAAUAUGAAAAAGAACAUGUGUGUGUGUGUGUGUGUGUGUGUGUGUACACAUAUAUGUAUAACUGAAUCACUUUGCUGUAUAGCAGAAAUUAAUGCCACAUUCUAAAUUAACUGUACUUCAAUAAAAGAAAAACGAAAAGAAACGCUUUGUCAGUGUCAAGGGGCAUUUUGGCAGUCCACACUGGCCUGUGCAUCAGCCAUGUAGUUUGCCUUCUGACAUAUGCUGUGAGUUUGAGAAAGAAAAAGAUAUUAGAAGAGAUUAUAUCUGCAGAUACUAAGAAAUAAAAGAUUAAGAUCCAAGGUCCUUAGGCGCUCACACCGCUUUGGUAAAGGGCUUGUGAGCUGGAAGGCACUCUUCACCCACUCUCCACUGAGCGGUCCCUCUGACCCCCAGAGGGGGCAGUGCCAGGAUUCGCUCCUCCUCAGGGUACCGCCUCAGUACCCAACUUUACGGGUCAUCCUGAGACUUCAGCGCAGUGGUGAUCUUAGUAUUUUGGAAGAUUGCUUUCUGUAAUGAGAUGUUCACAUGGGACCUUUUGUGAGUUAGCUUCAGAAUGUAAAGUGCUAACUUCUUCUACAUUCUGGUGUGAUGUCGGAUGAUACAAUCGGAACUUGUAGAGGAUGCGGUCAAAGGUUAUGCGACUCUUAGGCCAGUGUUCACCUGGAAGGUGUAAAAGUGAGCAAAGAAAAGAUUUAAAAAGUGAGAAGCAUUUUAACUGGAAAACGUUCUUGGAGAUGCAGCCUCUUGCACAUGGGGAGAGACAGGCGCUCACUCUGCCUUACUUCAGGCUGAACGACCAAUGUUUUAAGGAGCCGGGAGUCUGUAGGCACAGGGCUGCUAAUGGCCUCAUGCCUGUUAAAGCCUAAUGGGGAAAACUGUGUCUGGUAUCUGUACUGGCGACAGAUGAAGAGAGGCAGUUUUACUGGGAAAGACCUGCUCUCCCAUAGGUCUUCGGAGCCAAGAAUAUAUGCUUCUAAUGGACCAGAUGGAUCACCAGAAAAGAGGGGCUGGGAAGCACCCUAAAAGGCUUUUGCCUAAAAGGACUUUUAAAUGGGUGUUGGGACCCCAGGAAAGCAAGUCUCAUUGAGGAGUUCCCUGGUGGCUCAGUGGAUUAAGGAUAUGGUGUUGUCACUGCAGUGGGUUGGGUCACUGCCAUGGCGUGGUUCUCACCCUGGCCUAGGAACUUCCGCAUGCCAUGGAAGCAAUGGAGGACUGUCUGUAAAUAACUCAUAAAUAUGCCACAAGAAGGGGUCAGCUGUGAACACCCCAUGAACCUAGUCUGUGAAUCAACUCACCAUUAUGCCCAAAGGACACCCAUGUCAGAUUACAUCAGCACUGAUAAAGAAAAACUUCUCCUGCCUUUGUUCCUCUUCAAUAUUUCGCUUCAAUCCUCAAGGAGCCAAGGCAGCCUCUGGAGGAAAAAGAGAGAAAGGCGAUUACCGACAACAAACCUAAUGAAGACCUGAUCUGAAAAAGGAAGACACUUAAACUACAAAGAAAGUUAAAUUCACGAUAAUUCCAUAGGAUUGAACUAUUAAUCACUGAACUUAGGCUGUCCAGGGAAACAUUUUUUAUUAUUGGCAAGCUAUGGAGCCAACUUGAUGUUAAAUCCUUAGAAAAGAACUAGCAUCCAGAAUAUGUCUGAAUCUGCAAUGAGCAAAGAGAUAAAAUGCCCCCUCCCUACCCCUACCACGCCACUUACAGUCUUGCUCUUUCAGUGUCUUGGUUAUACUUUUAUUGUUUGCAGGAGGAUAGCUAGAGGGUACAAAGCUCACUACAACUUAAAUUCCAUCUGUUUUCUUACCCCACCCCUACUCUAUGUAAGAUUCCCCUCUAAUAUAAUUAAAAUAGCUACUAUCAAUUACUAGAGCAUUUGCUUCAUUCCACAUACUAUGCUAAGUGCUCUAUGAAAAUAAACCAAUCUUGUUAUUAACCUGCCCGAGGCAGUGGGUAUCAUAGUCUCUUAUUACAGUUUAGGAAACGGGCUAAGAUAGGGGAAGCCCUUUAACCAAUACCACAUGACUAAUGAGUGGCAGAGUCCAGGUUUCAGCGAAAAUCUAACCAACUCAAAACUUCAUCUACCAACCAUGAGCCCACUUCCUCUGUCUCAAGCAGAUGUUAAGGAGACACUUGUAAUAAAGACUUUGUUAGUCUCUAAUUAAACUAAGUCUGGGAAAGAACUAACCUUCAGCAACUCAUUCCAGCUUAAGCUCCCAUUGCUGUAAGAGUAUCCUUUGUAAAGUAGCAGAAAUCAAUUCCUGGACAUUUCUGCUCAUUGCUGUUACUUAAUUCUGCCUUAUCAACACCACAUUAAAGUAGUGUAAAUACUUGAAUACAUGAGAAUCUUUUUGCUACAAUGGCCAUAUCUUCUUUAAAAAUAUUUUUUUCCAGUUGAACCCCCUCAGUCAUUUCUAACAUGUGUCACACUUUUAACUUGUCCUUAAAUGAUACCAGUUAAACGUAGCUUCCUUGACAAGUCUUUUCACAGUGGUACAUAGAGAGCACUUUGCUUGGUACACUGUAUUAUAGGCAAUUUAAAUGUCUAGAUGCAAUUAGACUCUAAUUGUGAAUGUUGGUUGGUUGGUUGGGUUGAUAAUUCCUCACCAGCUCCUUUUUCAAUUCAAAUUCCUUCAUCUGGGGGACCCCCCCCCCAGUUCGUUAAUGUAGCUCUAAAAUCAUUCUGAUCAUGUUCAGUCUUGACUUUGCCCCUCAAGAGAUUUGAUAUCUGUUUUCUUGUGCUGAGGGCCAUGGCCUCCACUGAGUCAUUUAAACCAUUCAUGUCUCUGCCUUCCCCUUAGUGAUCUUUUAAUUCAUCCUGAUACAGCUGAGCUUGUUUCCUUUUUGACAUUCUGCUUUAAAUAUAAUCCCACGACAUGCAAGCAGAGACGUUUCUAGACAUUUAGAAGCAGAGAGGUAGACUUCAGGUGGAAUGUUAAUGAUAGAGUCACUUUUGGUGUGUUCUUAAUUCAGAGAUAGAUUGAUUUAAAGAGAAUAUGUGAAAACAGAAAGAACGAUGAGCAGGAAGGAAGACUAAACUAGGAAAGGGUGGAUGGGGGGAGGUGCCUAAACAAUAGAGAUUAAUAAUAAUGAUUCCAGAAAAUAACUUCCGUUUACGAACUAAUUACUAUGUUCCAGACUCUGAAAAUUGCUUUACCCACAGCAUACUAUAUAAUUCUUAACACAGUGUUAAAAAGAUAAUUAUUAUUUUUCUUAUGUUACUAAGGAAACUGAGGCUUGGGGUGUUAAAUCACUUGUUACAGGUUUUAUAGGCAUUAAAUUACAGAGGUAAAGAGUUACCAUUGUGGCUCGGUGGGUUAAAAAUCCAACUAGUAUCCAUGAGGAUGCAGGUUCAAUCCCUGGCCUUUCUCAGUAGGUUAAGGAUCCGGCGUUGCCUCAAGAUGCAGUGUGGGUCAGAGAUGCUGCUUGGAUCUCAUGCGGCUCUGGCUGUGGUGCAGGCUGGCAGCUGCAGCUCUGAUUCGACCCCCAGCCCAGAAACUUCCAUAUGCCA